GAACAAGCAUCUCUGUUUUGUCCGAGUUUAAAAGUUGAACGUUUGCAGCCAUCCACUUCCUUAUGUCUGAAACACAUGCUUCUAGCGAGGGCAAUUUUGGGGCUUCACCAUGUUUCAUUGAAAUGUACAGCUGUGUGUCAUCCGCAUAGCAGUGAAAGUUAACAUUAUGUUUUCGAAUGACAUCCCCAAGAGGUAAAAUAUAUCGUGAAAACAAUAGUGGUCCUAAAACAGAACCUUGAGGCACACCGAAAUUUACAGUUGAUUUGUCAGAGGACAAACCAUUCACAGAGACAAACUGAUAUCUUUCCGACAGAUAAGAUCUAAACCAGGCCAGAACUUGUCCGUGUAGACCAAUUUGGGUUUCCAAUCUCUCCAAAAGAAUGUGGUGAUCGAUGGUAUCAAAAGCAGCACUAAGGUCUAGGAGCACGAGAACAGAUGCAGAGCCUCGGUCUGAUGCCAUUAAAAGGAAAGAAUCUCAUGGCUCCAAGUCCUCACCCUGGUCCUCUGCAGAGAAAGUCCUCAACGGACAGUAUUGAACGGAGAAAGAAAGAGAUGCCAAAGAUCCCCACCACCCCCACCAGUCCCAUGUCCCCCUCCUUCAGCUCAGCAGGGGUUCCCCUGUCCCCUUGCCUGGCCACUGGAGUAACCAUCAGGGACAAGUGCAUCGAGAUGCUGGUUGCUGCUCUACGCACGAUGAUAACUUCAAAGAAUUUGAGACAAACUGUGACUCGUUGGCAGCAGAGAUUGAAGAUCAUAU
ensembl:lncRNA